CCAAUUCGCGGCGAGACAUUCGUCACCAGAAAGAUCACGCGCGCACUGGCUCGUAUCAAACUUGGUCUUCAGGAGAAGGUUUAUCUAGGGAACCUGAAUGCGCUUCGCGAUUGGGGGCAUGCCCGCGAUUAUGUAGAGAUGCAGUGGAUGAUGCUGCAGCAAGACGUACCGGAGGAUUACGUCAUAGCAACAGGCGAACAACACUCAGUUCGCGAAUUCCUUGAAGUCGCUGCGAAG
rnacentral:misc_RNA from 1 species